AGAUCUUGUGCGGAGGAUACAGCUGGCUCACCAGUCAAUAUAAAUUCAUAAAUCGGAUCACCGUGUGAUGAAUUUAAUUAAAAAAUACAUAUAACGACAUAAAUGUCUUGGAUGGAUGGUUGUCAAUCGGCUUGCUUCCUUUUUGUUCAAAGUACUCUCGGACUAGGUGAGUUCGUUUUUUCGGAUAACACCAACCAAAGGUGAGCGUCUGAGGGAGAACAUUUAUCGGAUUCUGAAGUGAGAGAUCGACGGGCUCCGGCCUUUGCCUUCGUGUCGUCGUCUCGUCGAUCUUCAGGUGCGAUUCCCAGUCUGAACGCGAAAUAGCGGACAAGUUGGGCGCCUAUGGAGUCGUUACAAGCUUGAACUGUGGGCUUGCUGUCAUUGCACGCCACGCGUUUGAUGUUUUGCUUCAUGGAAUCUGACCACGGUGAUGCGUGAAUAUGCUGUUUUAAGUAAUUCUUGUGGUUGAAACCAAUUGUAUGGAUAGCAAGGAAUUCACCAGGCUACACAUUUGCAGAGUUCGAUGCCUGUCAGAAAGCAGAUCAUGCAAUUUCUGCUUUAGAUGGUGAGAUGCAAUCACCUCCUUUACCUUUGUUCAAAAUAGUGUUCAAUCUUCUAAAUUUUUACUAUCACCCAAGUCAUCUUUUUAUUUGUCCUUCAAGUUUUCUAGAUGCUUGCAGUUGUUUUGUUUGAUUUUCUAAAAAGUAUAUUGUCUUGUCUCACAUGCUAGCAUGAGUGGCUGGCUUUAAAUAGUGGUGCAUGGACAUGAAUCCUAGAAUCAUACUUGGAUGCAUAUCCAAGUGCCUGACCGGGCAAGAGAAAAAUGGGAAUACAUAGGACAAUAUAUAAUUUUAACUAAAUUAUAUUUAAACCUUUAAAUAUCAUUGACUUGGAUAUUAAGAAGAAAAUAUUAAAAAGAUAGUUUGUUAUGGUCUUCUAUUCUACAUUUUUAUCAUCCAGGCUUCCAAUUUAACUAAAGGAUAUAAGUAAAAUGGCAUUUUGUAAAGUUAUUGCAAUAGCUACAUCCCCACCAAUUUCUGAAAAAAGAGUAGACACUCUGUUAUAAUGUCAAUGUGGAGGGUCAAACUCAUUGUUGGAAGAGUCCAACUAUCUACCAAUCUUUAAAAGUUAUUGCCAGAGAACAUCAUAACUGUCUAGGAGUUUUAUCCAAUUCAUAUGUAUCUAACAUGGAUUUUUGGAGUUGUCCAAGUAAUACAGGCUUUAAAUUCUCGCCCUAUAGAGAAACAAGUUAGUGAUUGAUAAGCAAUGUCAUUGUUUAUUAGUGAUUAUUAGGUAAUAAUCUAAAGGACUCAAAAGUUAUUUUGAAUUGUAUUUAAUUUCACCCUCUACUUUGAUUGUAACGCAGUACUAUUGAUAUAUUGGAAAAGAAAUCCGUACCACAUCUUAACGACCAAACUUUACUUUUGCAUGUUUGUACUAUGACCAUGGACAAUAGUUAGUUUUCCUUCUUUAAUAGUUCAUAUUUUAUAAGAUAAUUUCCAGAAUCUGUCUAAAUUUCAAAAGCUAGAUUAUCAUGGCUGAACAAGCAAACUUAUGCUUGCAUGGUAUGACUCCAAUUAUGGAAAGCAAACUUUCUCCAUGAUUGAAAGCAUUGUUGAUAAAACUUAAUUCCACCAUAUUUACCUCUUACAACACCAUUUAUGAAAUCUUUCAACAAAACAGAGCCAUUCAGAUUUCAUGACAACAACUACUUUGAUUUUCUGGUAUGUAUUGUUGGAAAACUGAUAUCUGUAAGAAUUUGAGACUUAUUGCACUAUCAGUAUACAGCUUAAUUUUAGCAUAUUCUGCACUCCAUAUAGAUGAUCUUCUUAAUACCAACAAAUUCAAGUAGCUGAUACUAAUAUCUGAUUAUUUAUUAUCCUUAACUGAGACUAUACAUGUAUACCUUGCAAAGAGGUGACUGUUUAGGAAAAAUGUUUGGCUAUCCAGUCAUUAGAAAGGUAUUGUGACAUACCAUUGCGCAACCUUUAUCGCGAGGAUCCUUAUCUUAUGCUUGUUGGCUUAGACACUGCGAGAGAUGCUGGAAAUUCAUGAAAUCUCUUGGCCUUUUAGAUGUAUUCCAUAUAUUUGUUUCUGUUAGUUUGGGCAUCAUCUUGUCAGCUGACCUCAAUAAGCUUGGCGAGAUUCUACUCAGGAUCAUUGUGAUAUUUUGUCUUUAGUCAUGCUGUGGCUGAAGGUCUGGAUGGUUAUCAUCUUGACACAGAGUAGGUUGAGUAGGUUGAUUGAUGUGCAGCGCAUAAGUGGUCUAACCAUCAUAUUUGUCUCACUAAGCAUUUCAUCUGAUAGAUGCCAUGACAUCUUAUUCUAACUGAUGCACUGUCCACUUGAGGCCAGUUCGUUUAGGUUUGCAGAUUCAUGAUUUUUCCUUACAUGAUGUGGUUCCACAGCCUAAAGUAUUAUAAAUCAAGAAAUAAGUGGGAAUUUAUUAUAAACUUCUCUGCACUGUCCACUUUUUUUGUGAAAUUUAUUCAACAUAAUUAUAUUAAUGAACAUGCCAUCAAGGCCAAAAAAAAAUUAAAAAUCAAGUGAACAUUUACAGAACUAAAAGUAGAAUCUGUUUUGUCAUGAGAAAGUGGAGAAGCAACAUAGAACUAUACUUUUUUAUUUGUCUAGAAGGAAAGAAAAAAACUAUAAUUCUAAUUUGUUUUUGGAAGCUUUCAUGCACAAGUACAACAUUCACGAGUCACAUGCUCAGAUUUUAUCACAUUGGUCUAGCUUAAGCUACUCAGAUUAUUAUGUGUAGUUUUUGAAAAUCUCACACUAGGAGGGUCCUGCUGCAAAACUGAAAAGGUCAGUUGCAGCCAGGUGGCCUACUCUAUUGCUUAUCCACUUUGAUUUCAUUCAAGUAUGAAGCACCAUAAGGGGUUAUUUUGGACUUAAUGGGGCCUAAUAAGAAACUGCAUUUAUGUCUAAGGCACAAUUUACAAGCCAAGAACAAACAGAAUACCACAAGUCAAGAUGUGGACCUACAGGAUUUAUUCUUAAAAAUGUCUAAUUAUGUCAAAAUUUGUCACCAUCAUUAUCAAACAUGUGUAUUGCUUUUCGAUAAAUUUGAUAUGAUAAUUAUCAAACAUCCACGUCUUAGUACCAACUGCUUUCCUGCAUCGGAUUGGGACAUUACUAAUCAUUCACGUUCACAUGGGUAGUCAUGCUGAGCACUCGAUGGACCUCCAUAAUUCUACCCAUUGUGGACCUUGAGGACUUCCUGGAAGAUGAUUAAUUAGGAAAAGUUAGAUAUCACAUUCCGUCUCCAUGCACCAAAGAAAGUCUGCAACCAGAUUGCCAGAAUGUUGCAUUCGAAAUCUAUUAGGCGCCAUGGAAAAUAUUUAGGCUUUCCAUUUGUUAGCAGAUCUAAGAGGCUUACUUUUAAAGAAAUCAUAGAGUGGGUGAAGAAUUAGUUGCAUUGCUGGAUGGAGAAAUUGUUUCUGGCAAGUACGAAUGUUUUUGUCAAAGCUAUAGCUCAAGCAGUCCCACUUAUAUGAUGAAUUGUUUCAAAUUGCCUAUUUUAUGUGAAGAAUUGAAUAGUCUGAUGAGCAAUUUUUGGUGGGGCCAAAUGACGGAUGGGAGGAAAAUACAUUGGGUUAGACAGGUAAACUUUGCCAUUCCAAAAAGGAGGGUGGCAUGGGUUUUCGGGACUUAAUAGGCCUUCAAUAUGGCACUUUUAACUAAAUGGGGGGCCAUAUUUCUUUGAAAUCAGAACCAUUAUUUGACAGAGCCUAUAAGACAAGAACACUCUUUGAAUUGUUCAUUCUUAGAAGCCCCACUUAGUUGUGAUCCUUCGUACUCAUGGAGAAGCAUUUGGGAGGCAAAGGCGAUUUUAAAGGAUCGGGUUGGUUGCCUACAACUCUUCCUUUUGAAGUGGUCUCAACUCAGAAAACUCUUUGAUACGGAUGCAAAUGUUAGUUGCCUAAUUGAUAAGAAUUGAAAGCAUACCUAUAUAUAUAUAUACAUAUUACCCCAUGAAGCUGAAUUAAUUAGAAAAAUUCCUUAGAGAAACCCGACCGCGUGGAGAUCAUAUUUUGUGGUAUUUUACUUCUUCUGAGCAAUUUACUGUUGAAUGUGCUUAUCAUGUAGCCUGGAAAUGGGAGAAGGGUUCAGCUAAGAAUUCAUCAAGUUUAGGUAUGUACAGAAGCUCUUUCAUGAUAAUUUGGCAGUUCCUUUGGAAAUUUAAUGUCCCAUAUAAAGUCGAAUUAUUUCUUUGGAAAGCUUGUAUAGAUAUCUUACCGACAAAAUGUAAUCUGGUAAAAGGAAUUAAAUGUGGAUAAGCAUUUCGAAUUGUGUGGCUGUCCAGCAGAGAUUAUAGUGC